CACUGAUCCGCACGUGGUCAUUACUCACUCCUGUGGAAGCCAAUGAGCCUAUGGUUAGGUGUGUCCGCUGGGAGAUGGUAGCACAGGGUAUCUUCAACUGGUUUGGAUGGCGUCAUGUUAAUAGGAUAGGUGUUUAGUCAUCUAUAUAUUUUGUCAUCUCCGGCUUGGGCUAGAAAGAUGCCUUGUAUCGUUUUAUUUUAUUCUUGCUGGACACUUCAUGUAGUUGUGUGAGACUUGAUUUUGAUUUUAAUAUAUGGCUGUAUGCAUCUCUCGAUGCAGAAGCCGGGGCUCAGCCUCCAUUUUGAAAAAA
rnacentral:lncRNA from 1 species